UGGGGCAGGUGACAUUUUUGCUCGCGGACCUGACUGAGCGCCGGAAGGCGUAGCACCAGUGCCUGCCUCUGCUUUAUCAUCUUUUCUCUGGUUGAGCAACAAAUCGAGCGCUCGGUGGAAGCGCAGGCACAAGCAACCGGUCGCACAAGGUGUAAGUUUAUCUUUCUGGUUGUAUCACAGUUUAUUUUUGUCUCCGAUGACAGACAACGAAAUGAACUGUAGGAGUACUUAUAAUAAUCAUCAACUUAUUCUUGCCACUAUUGCUUUUGACCAGUAUGUUGGCCGGCAAGAUUUGAUAGUCAUAGUACGAGCAUAGAGGACUUUGUAAAGUUGUGUGAUACAAGUGGUUAGUAAAACAGAGUGUUUUGUGUCCAA